CCUGACCAGUACAUGCUCCAGGGCCACUACUGAUGGGACAAAGGAGUUAUGAAUUUUCAUUGAAAAUGGGAAAGAGACAAUGAGAGGUGGAGCUGAGAACUCACAGCAUUACUGGGUGAAGGGGAGAGCAGGACCACCUCUUUCAGCAGCAGCUUGCAGCAAGAUCACAUGAAAGCAACAGCCAGCAAAGGAGAUUAGAGAACCUGGUGGCUGGAGAAACAGCCCUGCCCUGAACCAGCUCCA